CCUAGUCAUACACGUGGAUCUAGCAGCACCCGAAGCAUUGCCCAAGGAUACUUGCUGAGAAGGAAGUUUGUCUGAGUGGUAUCUGACGAUCUGGAGGACGAAGAAAGGGGAUUGCUGCCUGGCUAAUCUGAAGCUUUCCUCUAAAGGUACUAAUAAGUAAUAAGUCAGACUGCCUUGCUGAUAAUAGUUCUCAUUUUGUAUGGUAUAAUUUUGUGUAUGUCCCUUAAUGUGUGGUUUUGGGAAAGCCUAGUGUAAAAGCCAACAUUGUAAUGGGGUUGUAUCUUAAAUUUCUUUAAAGAGUAGUUUUUAAGGUUUGGUGUGUCCGAUUUGGAACUUCUGGCUAUUGGCCUUUUCCCCCCUUGGGUAUAAGCUGAAAUUGAUGUUUGUCACAGGAUUUAGAGCUUUGGGCUGUUCCUUUUUGUCUAAUUAUUUAUUUCAAAUUUAGCAGGAAUAAAGUGAACCUCACCUUGGGACUGAAGCUGUGUGUGACCAGUCAGAAUAAUGUCAAAGUGCUUACAGUGCAGGUAGUGAUGUGUGCAUCUACUGCAGUGAGGGCACUUGUAGCAUUAUGCUGACAGCUGCCUCGGUGGGAGCCACAGUGGGCGCUGCCUGGGUCGGCGCUGUCGGUCGCGGGGAGGGCCUGCCGGUGCUGCGUGCUUUUUGUUCUAAGGUGCAUCUAGUGCAGAUAGUGAAGUAGACUAGCAUCUACUGCCCUAAGUGCUCCUUCUGGCAUAAGAAGUUAUGUCCUCAUCCAAUCCGAGUCAAGCAAGCAUGUAGGGGUCUCUCCAUAGUUGUGUUUGCAGCCCUCUGUUAGUUUUGCAUAGUUGCACUACAAGAAGAAUGUAGUUGUGCAAAUCUAUGCAAAACUGAUGGUGGCCUGCUAUUUACUUCAAUUGUUGUGGUCUUUUUUUUUAACUAAUUUUGUAUUUUUAUUGUGUCGAUGUAGAAUCUGCGUGGUGUGUCUGCUGUGACAGCUUCUGUAGCACUAAAGUGCUUAUAGUGCAGGUAGUGUGUAGUCAUCUACUGCAUUACGAGCACUUACAGUACUGCCAGCUGUAGAGCUCCAGCCUCGCUUGGCCGUCGCCAUCCAACUGUCCCGUUACUGAGCACUGUUCUAUGGUUAGUUUUGCAGGUUUGCAUCCAGCUGUAUAAUAUUCUGCUGUGCAAAUCCAUGCAAAACUGACUGUGGUGGUGAAAAGUCUGUAAGAGAAGUAAGGGAAGAUGAAACCCCUUUCUACACAGGUUGGGACUUGUCGCAAUGCUGUGUUUCUGUAUGGUAUUGCACUUGUCCCGGCCUGUUGAGUUUGGUGGGGAUUGUGACCAGAAGAUGUGAAAUUACAAUAUUGCUGAAGAUGCCGAUUUCCACUGUAAAAAUGCUCAAGAGCUGAUGGAGUCUGAACACAUUCUGUAAACUCUGUAAUGUCUGUUGCUUUCAUUGGUGUAAAAUGGGAUUUUUUUCUUUUUAUUGAAACUUGUUUUUUAAUUUGUGGUUUGUUUUUUACUGAAUCAUUUCACUUUUGGGUUUGCAUGCUAGAUUUAGUAAGUUUUGUGUGUGGGCUUAGGCGAAGUUUAAGUGCCUUUUGAACCUGGUAUGAUUCCAGGUUUAUUUUACUCUAAAACCCAUAUUCAACUGUUUAAUUAACAUGAGUUAAGAAAAUGUUACUUUCUUUGGAUCUGUGUUUAUUAAAGUGACAUUUCAGAUGGAGUAUUUUCUGAUAAGAUUAUUCCUAAUGUGUGAGUUGUUAACAGUUAACAGGUGGUAGCCACUCUUAAGAAAGAACUAUCCUUGGACUGUUCUUACCAUGGGACCCCCUCAAAAGGGAGAGGUGGCCGACUGAUGGUCAGCAGAGUGACAGGUACGCAUGACACUUGUAGGGCUAUGGAGCCUGGGUCUGGAGAAGGUGCUCAAAGCUGCAGUUAGUGUUUAGGAUAACAGUAUAUAUAGUUCAUUUGCGCAGCACAGUUGGUUUUAGGCUGUGAAUAAAGAUCAUCAGAGUGAAACCUAAAGAAAAGUAAAAUUAAUAAAGAUGAACUGUUAAAAUCAGGUUUGAGCUGAUAAUCUACAGAGCUAGUUUUCCAUAAUGUGUUGCUUUUUUAAAAGAAAUGCAAGAAGCUGAUUGGAUCCCUGAGCUGCAAGGUAAGGAUUCCACAGGCAUGGGUUUGAUUGUGAAUGACCAGAAUUGUACAAUUAUUAGAAAAACAGAAACAUAGUCACUUCUGACUCCAUUCUUAACCUUUUUGGGUUAAAACUUGCUUUAGAUGGUUAAUGAAAAAAAUUACAUUAAAAAGUGAUAAAGUUCUAUAAUGUCAACAUGAUUCGUGUGUUUUCUAUAAAGGGAUCGGGAUCUGUCACAAGUGUUAGUAUUUGAAUGUUACGUUUAUCUUUCAACGUGGGAAGCCUGCCAGGUACUUUCUUCGAUAUGCUAAGUUAGAAGUUUAGUAUUAAUAGGGUCUUAAUUAGGACCUUUGGAUGCUGAGCUUAUGGUAGUAAUUGUGCUCAGAAUGUUUUGAACUUAAAUUGAGAUUUAAUUUUAGUAAGGAAUAUAUGUCUUAGAGGCCUAGUAGUAAAGAGUUUUCCUAAAAUUUUCUUUUCUCCCUUAAUUAAGCUUGUUUCUACACUAAGGACGUCAAGCAGAAACAUGCACUUCAGUUCAACAGAGGGGGCUUAGUUGAUUGUCUUCUCUCAAAUUCUGUUGGCAAAACAGCUUUGGUCUUUUACACUUUGAUCUUGUAGUGACUUGGGCAUAAAUUUGCUGUAGGCUUCAGGAGUGGGGGGAUUACUAAUGUCUUGUUGCAGUGCAUGAAAGUAGUUAGAUUCAUCUUAUAUGAAGGAGGAAGCAUUAUUAAGUCUAUAAACUGUUGAUUUUACUAAAAACCCUUAAGAUGUCCAUUUUAACAGGCAAACCUAGCACAGAAAACCAGCUGGAUUUUCCCUGUGCAUGGUUUGAAGAGUCAGUCCUACAUAAUUGCUGACACAAUGCAACCUGCGGUGCUGCCCGGAGAAAGAACAAUGUCACUAAAAUUGUUGUAUGUAUCAUCCUGUUCUGUUCUGUAACUGAUAACACUAGUUUGUCUGGCUUUAGAGAAUUAAUAGGUGAAUCUCAAACAGUGGAAACAGCUCAGUUGGGCAAGGGCCAUUCUAGUAGCAUGCCUGCUCCUUGGAGUUUUCCAGAUUAUUUUGUAUAAUCCAGAUUCUUGUAUAAGACUGCUUUGCUCUACACUCAGAAUUGGUGUGCUGUUCUGUUUGUGUAAUUAAUGAUCUAUAAUGCAUUGCUAGUUGUCUAGGGUAUAGAAAGAUUGUUAACAAGGGUUUCAGUGUUUUUUUUUUUUUUUUCCUGGUAAGCAAAUAGGCAGAACAUUGUGAGGUACCUGGUUUAUUGUGGUUACAGACUUGGAAUGUUCGUUGUUUAGUGCUAAUAAACACUGCGUUUUAAAACUUGAUGUACAUAUGAGCAUUUUGAAAUAAAGUUAUCUUGUAGCACUGG
rnacentral:lncRNA from 1 species